rnacentral:rRNA from 1 species
CGAUGUCAACUAGCCGUUGGGAGCCUUGAGCUCUUAGUGGCGCAGCUAACGCAUUAAGUUGACCGCCUGGGGAGUACGGCCGCAAGGUUAAAACUCAAAUGAAUUGACGGGGGCCCGCACAAGCGGUGGAGCAUGUGGUUUAAUUUGAAGCAACGCGAAGAACCUUACCAGGCCUUGACAUCCAAUGAACUUUCUAGAGAUAGAUUGGUGCCUUCGGGAACAUUGAGACAGGUGCUGCAUGGCUGUCGUCAGCUCGUGUCGUGAGAUGUUGGGUUAAGUCCCGUAACGAGCGCAACCCUUGUCCUUAGUUACCAGCACGUAAUGGUGGGCACUUUAAGGAGACUGCCGGUGACAAACCGGAGGAAGGGGG